rnacentral:rRNA from 1 species
CCUACGGGAGGCAGCAGUGAGGAAUAUUGGUCAAUGGGCUUACGCCUGAACCAGCCAAGUCGCGUGAGGGAUGAAGGUUCUAUGGAUCGUAAACCUCUUUUAUAAGGGAAUAAAGUGUGGGACGUGUCCUGUAUUGUAUGUACCUUAUGAAUCAGGAUCGGCUAACUCCGUGCCAGCAGCCGCGGUAAUCCGGAGGAUCCGCGCGUUAUCCGGAUUUAUUGGGUUUAAAGGGUGCGUAGGCGGGCUUUUAAGUCAGUUGUGAAAGUCUGUGGCGCAACCAUAGAAUUGCCGUUGAAACUGGGAGGCUUGAGUAUGUGUGAGGCAGGCGGAAGUCGUGGUGUAGCGGUGAAAUGCUGAGAUAUCACGCAGAACCCCGAUUGCGAAGGCAGCCUGCCAAGCCAUGACUGACGCUGAUGCACGAAAGCGUGGGGAUCAAACAGGAUUAGAUACCCCUGUAGUC